GAAAUACUUCCUCCGUCCUACUUGUCGAAAAGAUGGAUGUAUCUAGAUGUAUUUUAGUUUUAGAUACAUUUAUUUCUAUUCAUUUUCACGACAAGUAAUUUCAGACGGAAGAAGUAAACA
rfam:Hordeum vulgare subsp. vulgare, WGS project CAJW01000000 data, contig: morex_contig_2551294